AUUGAACGCUGGCGGCAGGCCUAACACAUGCAAGUCGAGCGGCAGCGGGAAAGUAGCUUGCUACUUUUGCCGGCGAGCGGCGGACGGGUGAGUAAUGCCUGGGAAAUUGCCCAGUCGAGGGGGAUAACAGUUGGAAACGACUGCUAAUACCGCAUACGCCCUACGGGGGAAAGCAGGGGACCUUCGGGCCUUGCGCGCUUGGAUAUGCCCAGGUGGGAUUAGCUAGUUGGUGAGGUAAUGGCUCACCAAGGCGACGAUCCCUAGCUGGGCUGGGAGGAUGAUCAGCCACACUGGAACUGAGACACGGUCCAGACUCCUACGGGAGGCAGCAGUGGGGAAUAUUGCACAAUGGGGGAAACCCUGAUGCAGCCAUGCCGCGUGUGUGAAGAAGGCCUUCGGGUUGUAAAGCACUUUCAGCGAGGAGGAAAGGUUGAUGCCUAAUACGUAUCAACUGUGACGUUACUCGCAGAAGAAGCACCGGCUAACUCCGUGCCAGCCGCCGCCGUAA
rnacentral:rRNA from 1 species